CAAUCUCUUCUGCUUUGGUAUAUAGAGAAGCAAUAGUAAUGUUCAUUACGAAAGCAUUGUGUGGGAAUAUGUUUGAAGUUAGGGUGGAUCUGUUAGAUAAGAAAAAGUUACGAUGAUACUGUACAGUGUUUAACAAAAGCCAACUUACAUAGCACAUCGAUAUGGAUUUGUGAGCUGUACCUUCCAAAGGCAUCAUCCGUCAUACAGUGUAGUUGCUGCAUCCAAACCCAGAAUAAAAUCCACUAACAUCAAACUCUCCCCCAUAUCUCCAUCCACAGCUAGAAACACCAGUUGUU